rnacentral:lncRNA from 1 species
AACUAGAAUCUUUACUCUAUGAGGAUUAUAAUGUCAGCUUCUAGAUUUUUAACUCAUAUCCUAUAGAACAACCGUUUGACCAAACCCAAUUAUAAAGACUGGCUCAGCAAAUUUCAAAAUAGUUUUGAAUUGUGAGAAAUUAGGGUAUGAGCUAGACCAUGGAAUCCCUGUAUUACCAAUCUGUCCGAUCACUGAUCAGCGUAAGACGCAUGCCAAGUGGAUGAACGAUGACAAUA